GACGGACGCUGGCGGCGUGCUUAACACAUGCAAGUCGAACGGAAAGGCCCUGCUUUUGUGGGGUGCUCGAGUGGCGAACGGGUAAGUAACACGUGAGUAACCUGCCCUUGACUUUGGGAUAACUUCAGGAAACUGGGGCUAAUACCGGAUAGGAGCUCCUGCUGCAUGGUGGGGGUUGGAAAGUUUCGGCGGUUGGGGAUGGACUCGCGGCUUAUCAGCUUGUUGGUGGGGUAGUGGCUUACCAAGGCUUUGACGGGUAGCCGGCCUGAGAGGGUGACCGGCCACAUUGGGACUGAGAUACGGCCCAGACUCCUACGGGAGGCAGCAGUGGGGAAUAUUGCACAAUGGGCGGAAGCCUGAUGCAGCAACGCCGCGUGCGGGAUGACGGCCUUCGGGUUGUAAACCGCUUUCGCCUGUGACGAAGCGUGAGUGACGGUAAUGGGUAAAGAAGCACCGGCUAACUACGUG
rnacentral:rRNA from 1 species